AUGUCUUGCAUCCACGUCACUAAAAUAUGAAAUUCCCUACAGGCACUGGCUGUAGAUAAGUACAGGUGAAAUGUCUUGCAUCCACGUCACUAAAAUAUGAAAUUCCCUACAGGCACUGGCUGUAGAUAAGUACAGGUGAAAUGUCUUGCAUCCACGUCACUAAAAUAUGAAAUUCCCUACAGGCACUGGCUGUAGAUAAGUACAGGUGAAAUGUCUUGCAUCCACGUCACUAAAAUAUGAAAUUCCCUACAGGCACUGGCUGUAGAUAAGUACAGGUGAAAUGUCUUGCAUUGCUGGGAGAGUCCAUGAAUAUCCUGAUGAAUAUCCUGUUUUGCUGUAUGGAGGUACUUGACAGUAUGACACAUGGAGGUACUUGACAGUAUGACAGGUGGGAGUAUGGAGGUACUUGACAGUAUGACAGGUGGGAGUAUGGAGGUACUUGACAGUAUGCAGUAUGACAGGUGGGAGUAUGACACAGGUGGGAGUAUGGAGGUACUUGACAGUAUGCCACAGGUGGGAGUAUGGAGGUACUUGACAGUAUGCCACAGGUGGGAGUAUGGAGGUACUUGACAGUAUGCCACAGGUGGGAGUAUGGAGGUACUUGACAGUAUGACAGGUGGGAGUAUGGAGGUACUUGACAGUAUGACAGGUGGGAGUAUGGAGGUACUUGACAGUAUGACACAGGUGGGAGUAUGGAGGUACUUGACAGUAUGCCACAGGUGGGAGUAUGGAGGUACUUGACAGUAUGCCACAGGUGGGAGUAUGGAGGUACUUGACAGUAUGACACAGGAUGGAGUAUGGAGGUACUUGUCAGUAUGGUAUGGUAUAUUUAUCAUCCAGGUGUAGUGGUAUGGUAUAAUUGUCUUCCGGGUGUAGUGGUAUGGUAUAAUUGUCAUCCAGGUGUAGUGGUAUGGUAUAAUUGUCAUCCGGGUGUAGUGGUAUGGUAUAAUUGUCAUCCGGGUGUAGUGGUACUGGUAUAAUUGUGAACCAGGUGUAGUGGUACUGGUAUAAUUGUCAUCAGGGUGUAGUGGUACUGGUAUAAUUGUCU